GCUCCAGACUCCUACGGGAGGCAGCAGUGGGGAAUAUUGGGCAAUGGGCGCAAGCCUGACCCAGCAACGCCGCGUGAAGGAAGAAGGCUUUCGGGUUGUAAACUUCUUUUCUCAGGGACGAAUAGAUGACGAUACCUGAGGAAUAAGCCACGGCUAACUACGUGCCAGCAGCCGCGGUAAUACGUAGGUGGCAAGCGUUAUCCGGAUUUACUGGGUGUAAAGGGCGUGUAGGCGGGGACGCAAGUCAGAUGUGAAAACCAUGGGCUCAACCUGUGGCCUGCAUUUGAAACUGUUUUUCUUGAGUACUGGAGAGGCAGACGGAAUUCCGUGUGUAGCGGUGAAAUGCGUAGAUAUACGGAGGAACACCAGUGGCGAAGGCGGCCUGCUGGACAUUAACUGACGCUGAGGCGCGAAAGCGUGGGGAGCAAACAGGAUUAGAUACCCGGGUAC
rnacentral:rRNA from 1 species